UCUUCUUCUUCUUGAUGAAACCCUACUCUAUAUUAUUUUAUUUAACCCAUCCAUCCAUCCAUUUCCUACCGCUUGUCCCUUUUGGGGCCACGGGGGGUGCUGAAGCCUAUCUCAGCUGCAUUCGGGCAGAAGGUGGCGGUACACCCUGGACAAGUCGCGACACCUCAUCGCAAGGCCAACACAGAUAGACAGUAAAAAGGGGUGCUGCAUGGAGCCUAUCUCAGCUGCAUUCGGGCAGAAGGCGGGGUACACCCUGGACAAGUCGCCAGACAACAUUCACAUUCACACAAUUUUUAGUGUUGCCAAUCAACCUAUCCCCAGGUGCACAUCUUUGGAGUUGGGAGGAAGCCGGAGUCACGGGGAGAACAUACCAACUCCACACAGAAAGAUCCCGAACCCGGGAUUGAACUCAGGACCUUAAUAUUGUGAGGCACAUGCACUAACCCCUGUCUCACCAUGCUGCCCUGUGUUCUGAGUGCACUCCUAAAAUAUCUUCCACUACUAACCUAACCCUCUCUUUCGCUAACUUGUUUCCCAGUAUUUCCCUUUCUCUAUUGUAUUUCCUAUAAUGUAUUAAACACUUUCUAUCUGAUGGCAA